rnacentral:snRNA from 1 species
CUGCCUACCAUGCUCACAUAUCUUAAAAUUUGAAUGAUACAGAGAAGAUGAGUAGGGUCCCUGUGCAAGGAAGACAUGCACAUUCAUUAAGUGGCUCAUAUAUUU